rnacentral:lncRNA from 1 species
AGCUCUCUAUAAAGAGGAAUCCGAUUUCAUUGAUUGAAUAAUUCUUAAGUACAAGAGGAAAAGAAAAAAAAGUGAUAACAAAGGAAAAGUACAAAGUUAGAGGUCUCGGACCUCUGGAGCAGAAGUGCAAGAGCUCGGCACCCCCGGAAGGUCGGUCACGGCGGCUGCGGUAGUUAAGGAGGUCCCGGCUGGAGGGAGACCGGCAGCAGUUUCGGAAGGUCUGGCUUCAUCGUCGGACGCUUCAUCCAGGAAGCUGAGGUCAAGUUCGAGAAACUUCCCGACCACCUUCUCCUGGCAAAGCUCGAAGCCUUUGAUGAAGGCGGCCUGACCGAACUUGACAUUCAGAUCCCUCAUCUAGGAGGAGGUCUUGAACUCCUCCACUGCUUGGGCCCU